GACGAACGCUGGCGGCGUGCUUAACACAUGCAAGUCGAACGGAAAGGCCCUGCUUUUGUGGGGUGCUCGAGUGGCGAACGGGUGAGUAACACGUGAGUAACCUGCCCUUGACUUUGGGAUAACUUCAGGAAACUGGGGCUAAUACCGGAUAGGAGCUCCUGCUGCAUGGUGGGGGUUGGAAAGUUUCGGCGGUUUGGGAUGGACUCGCGGCUUAUCAGCUUGUUGGUGGGGUAGUGGCUUACCAAGGCUUUGACGGGUAGCCGGCCUGAGAGGGUGACCGGCCACAUUGGGACUGAGAUACGUCCCAGACUCCUACGGGAGGCAGCAGUGGGGAAUAUUGCACAAUGGGCGGAAGCCUGAUGCAGCAACGCCGCGUGCGGGAUGACGGCCUUCGGGUUGUAAACCGCUUUCGCCUGUGACGAAGCGUGAGUGACGGUAAUGGGUAAAGAAGCACCGGCUAACUACGUG
rnacentral:rRNA from 1 species